UGACCUCAGCUCAGGCGAGAUUAC
rnacentral:rRNA from 1 species